rnacentral:rRNA from 1 species
UACGGGGGGGGCAAGCGUUGUUCGGAAUUCCUGGGCGUCAAGGGCUCGUAGGCGGCCAACUAAGUCAGACGUGAAAUCCCUCGGCUUAACCGGGGAACUGCGUCUGAUACUGGAUGGCUUGAGGUUGGGAGAGGGAUGCGGAAUUCCAGGUGUAGCGGUGAAAUGCGUAGAUAUCUGGAGGAACACCGGUGGCGAAGGCGGCAUCCUGGACCAAUUCUGACGCUGAGGAGCGAAAGCCAGGGGAGCAAACGGG